ACUUUAAUAAUUUAAAUAAAAUAAUGGUCUUGUAAACCAUAUAUAAGUAUUAUACUUUUAAAGUA
rnacentral:tRNA from 1 species